AACGAACGCUGGCGGCAGGCUUAACACAUGCAAGUCGAACGGGCGCAGCAAUGCGUCAGUGGCAGACGGGUGAGUAACACGUGGGAACCUUCCUUAAGGUACGGGACAACUCAGGGAAACUUGAGCUAAUACCGUAUACGUCCGUGAGGAGAAAGAUUUAUCGCCUUUAGACGGGCCCGCGUCGGAUUAGCUAGUUGGUGAGGUAACGGCUCACCAAGGCUGAGAUGGUUAGCUGGUCGAGAGGAUGGCCAGCCACACUGGGACUGAGACACGGCCCAGACUCCUACGGGAGGCAGCAGUGGGGAAUAUUGCGCAAUGGGCGAAAGCCUGACGCAGCGACGCCGCGUGGGUGAUGAAGGCC
rnacentral:rRNA from 1 species